rnacentral:rRNA from 1 species
CCUACGGGAGGCAGCAGUGAGGAAUAUUGGUCAAUGGGCGCUAGCCUGAACCAGCCAAGUAGCGUGAAGGAUGACUGCCCUAUGGGUUGUAAACUUCUUUUAUAUGGGAAUAAAGUGCAGCAUGUAUACUGCUUUGCAUGUACCUUAUGAAUAAGGAUCGGCUAACUCCGUGCCAGCAGCCGCGGUAAUACGGAGGAUCCGAGCGUUAUCCGGAUUUAUUGGGUUUAAAGGGAGCGUAGGCGGUUUGUUAAGUCAGUUGUGAAAGUUUGCGGCUCAACCGUAAAAUUGCAGUUGAUACUGGCAGCCUUGAGUACAGUAGAGGUAGGCGGAAUGCGUGGUGUAGCGGUGAAAUGCUUAGAUAUCACGAAGAACUCCGAUUGCGAAGGCAGCCUGCUGGACUGUAACUGACGCUGAUGCUCGAAAGUGUGGGUAUCAAACAGGAUUAGAUACCCCGGUAGUC